rnacentral:rRNA from 1 species
CCUACGGGUGGCUGCAGUGGGGAAUAUUUGGCAAUGGGCGCAAGCCUGACCCAGCGACGCCGCGUGAGGGAAGAAGGCUUUCGGGUUGUAAACCUCUUUUAUGAGGGACGCAAGAAAUGACGGUACCUCAUCAAGAAGCCACGGCUAACUACGUGCCAGCAGCCGCGGUAAUACGAAGGUGGCAAGCGUUAUCCGGAUUUACUGGGUGUAAAGGGCGUGUAGGCGGUACUGCAAGUCGGAUGUGAAAAGGAGGGGCUCAACCCCUGAACUGCAUAGGAGACUGUAGGUCUUGAGUGAUGGAGGGGCAAGCGGAAUUCCGGGUGUAGCGGUGAAAUGCGUAGAUAUACGGAGGAACACCAGUGGCGAAGGCGGCCUGCUGGACAUUAACUGACGCUGAGGCGCGAAAGCGUGGGGAGCAAACAGGAUUAGAUACCCUUGUAGUC